rnacentral:rRNA from 1 species
UGCAAGUCGAGCGGGCGAGGUUACUUCGGUAACUGAGCUAGCGGCGGACGGGUGAGUAAUGCUUAGGAAUCUGCCUAUUAGUGGGGGACAACAUUCCGAAAGGAAUGCUAAUACCGCAUACGCCCUACGGGGGAAAGCAGGGGAUCUUCGGACCUUGCGCUAAUAGAUGAGCCUAAGUCAGAUUAGCUAGUUGGUGGGGUAAAGGCCUACCAAGGCGACGAUCUGUAGCGGGUCUGAGAGGAUGAUCCGCCACACUGGGACUGAGACACGGCCCAGACUCCUACGGGAGGCAGCAGUGGGGAAUAUUGGACAAUGGGCGAAAGCCUGAUCCAGCCAUGCCGCGUGUGUGAAGAAGGCCUUUUGGUUGUAAAGCACUUUAAGCGAGGAGGAGGCUACCGAGAUUAAUACUCUUGGAUAGUGGACGUUACUCGCAGAAUAAGCACCGGCUAACUCUGUGCCAGCAGCCGCGGUAAUACAGAGGGUGCGAGCGUUAAUCGGAUUUACUGGGCGUAAAGCGUGCGUAGGCGGCUUUUUAAGUCGGAUGUGAAAUCCCUGAGCUUAACUUAGGAAUUGCAUUCGAUACUGGGAAGCUAGAGUAUGGGAGAGGAUGGUAGAAUUCCAGGUGUAGCGGUGAAAUGCGUAGAGAUCUGGAGGAAUACCGAUGGCGAAGGCAGCCAUCUGGCCUAAUACUGACGCUGAGGUACGAAAGCAUGGGGAGCAAACAGGAUUAGAUACCCUGGUAGUCCAUGCCGUAAACGAUGUCUACUA